UGUUCGAGCUGCUUUAGUUUCAGCUGCUCACAGAGAGGACGCAGGUCUCCUGUCACCAAACCUCUUCUGUCUUGUGAGAAAGUGGAUGUUAGUUUUAAGAUUUUGUACUACUUUGUGUUGGUCUGUCACAAAAAAUCUCAGUAAAAACAUUUGAGUUUGUGGUUGUAAGGCGACAAAAUGUGUAAAAGUUUAAGGGGUAUGAAAACUUUUUCAAGGCACAGUAUAUGCAGGUACGUGUAUAUUUGUUUCAUAUGCCUGGCAUGACAGCUCAUCAUCACCUUGAGAGCAUUUUAGUAAGUUUGGGCAAACAGAUAAAGGCUAAUAACACAUGAAAUUUCAAAUAUGUCAUAUAUUUUAUUAGGUACUAAUGAGCAGUUGCAAUGGAUGAGCAGUUGCAAUGCUCUCCAUUUGUCCCAUGUGAGUUGAUCUUUUUUUUUUUUUUUGCACGUUACUCUGUUUCUAUUUAUUUGCUAUGAUUUGCCAUUUGUUGAGUAACAUUGCUGCACUCACUAUCCCGGUUUGUUUGUGUAAGCGUUCUGUUGCCGGCAAAACAAACAUUCUGCAAAUACUCAGUUACACGUUUCUUUAUAUUUUAUUAUGUUACAGAUUAAGUCAUGUGUUCAUACUUUGUUCUUUCUUUCCAGUCUUCAUGUGGGUCAGGUAUGGGGAAACGCCUGCCCAGCAUUUUCUCACACAUGACAUCAGCGGGUCGAACCAAGCGGAGGGGUUUCUUUUUCCAUAGAAAUGCUUCCUUUUGUUUGUUUCAAGUUCUGAAGGGGUUUGUUGAAUCUUGUUUUCGUAAAUAGAACCGUUUAGUUAUGUAAAUGUGCCAGUUAGAAGUGUGAGGAGGUUUUGUGUCUUUUUAAUCAUCUGUGUAGAGUUUUAGAUCCCUCAGUUCAAGUGAGUGGUAGAUGUGGAAGUGGAAGAUCAGGAAGAUGGAGAAGCAGGAAGUUAGCAGAGACGCAUCUUCCAGCGGAAUCUGCAUGAAUAUUGAAGAUACUUAAUACCUAGACAGAGGAAUAAUAACGCGUGGGGCAUCGGCUUUCACCGGAACAUUCACACCAAAAGGGACCAGGAAACCAUCACAGCUGAGUCUGGACAGGAUGUCACUCUGACAUGUCGAGCUCCAAUCAACAACGGUGACAUUGUAGAGUGGAGCAGAGCUGACCUGAGAGAUACAUUUGUGUUUGUGUUGAUAAACAAGACGCCCAACGAAGAUGAUCAGAACCCAUCGUAUAAGCACCGGGUGGAUCUGCAGGACAAAGAGAUGAAGGAUGGAGAUGUGUCUGUGAUUCUGAAGAAUGUGACGGCUGCUGAUAAUGGAACAUAUGAGUGUUGCAUCGUCAUGGUAGGAACAUGUCCCCCCAUCUGCAGCAUCAGCCUGAGAGUUGUUGAUCCUCCAGGUAACACAGGAGGAGACACAGAGGAUGGAUCUGUUGGACUGAAAGUUGGUCUUCCAUUUGCUGUUAUUGUUGCUGCUGCUGUUGUUGUUGUUUUGAUCUACAGAAAUCGUAACCCACUGAUGCAGGAUUCAUCCCAGCCUCCAGUUGAACUUCAGCCUGUUUGAAAUGUUUCAGUUUUUUCCAGCUGAUCUGAGUCUCCUGCUGUUUCAGCUUCUCAGAGGUGACACUGAGCAUUCAGGAUAAAGACAGUUGUGAUUUUCCAAUCUUGUAAGUGAAACAUGUGCAGAGUCAAAUGUCACACAUUUUCUUUUUCUUUGUUAUAAAAUGUCGACAAACAAUCCAGGAAACAUUUUCAGGUUUUAUGUUUAAACGUACAUUAUAGAGUCUCGACCACCUGCUGAGCUAACAUCUCUUUAACUUUUACUUUAACCUCCUGAGACUCAAACUCUUUCAUGGCAUUUUUAAUUUCUCUUUGAUAUUUGGGCUGAUUGGGACCUGAUGAAAGUGAAAAUAAAGAAUUACCUGAUUUUUAAUUUUUUUUAUCUGACUUUUGUUUCUGAGAAAAAUGAGAUCCCCAUAUGAGGACAUUUAUUUUAAAUUUCAUAUAACAGUGUCAGUAUAACGUCCUCGUACGUGGAUAUCAGGCCCUUGUAGAGUAAAAUUCUGUAUUUUGGUCUAGACGACCCAAAAUGUGAUGUCCACAUGUGUGGAUGUGUUACAGGCCCAGCUGUAGAGGCGCAGCCAGAUUACCAUCCUGUAACACAGGAGAGAGAGUGAACACAGGAAACAUGCUGCUGUUCGCCUGGUCAGUUGUACCAGAACCACAAGCUCACAGCAGCUGUGCGCACAACUCAGUCCCCACAGCACUCUGCUGCCCUCUGCUGUCCAGAGUCAUGUGACCUCCCCUGUAAUACAAAACUAGUCUGACUGUGUGAACCUCAUUAUACCAGUAAACCAGCAAAGUGACACAUGCACAAUUACCUCCAUAUAUCACACCACUUAACUCACAGUUGUGACCACAUGUUUGUGUGGAUCACAGACGGCAGGUCCUAGGAGGUUAAGAUCAAACUGCCUGCUGCUUCUCUCAUGUUUGUAUCAGAGGAGCUUCUGAUUAUAUACAGCUUUAAGCACUCAAAGCACUUCUUAACUUUAUUGUUUUGUAUUUAAUAUAUUUACUUUUAAUGCACGUUACAAUAGUGGAUGAUGAGGUUUCAUGUUUUUAAUGUAACUUUCUGACCUGUUGACUCAGUUCAUGCAGUUUUCAGGGACUUUGUGUUUCUCAUGUUUUUACUGUAAAAGUGCCUUCAGAUGGUUGUUGUUUCCUGCUGCUUCAUGAAUAAUCCUGCAGUGAAACUGAAUCUGAGCUGGACCCAAACAAACCUCACUGAGCUGAUGUGUAAACUGGAUCUAAGCAAGAAUCAAACUGCAUUAAAAACCUGACAGAAAACCUGCUCACUGACUUUCUCUCACUUUGACUCUGAAACUGUAACGAGAGACAACAUUUAGACAUUAACUGUCAUUAUAUAACAAGUUUGUACAGCUGUAGUCUCUUGAUGCUACGAACAGAAAACAAAAAAUAAAUAACUUGGUCAUAAAAAGGUGUCGGUGUAACUGGCUCAACCAGGACUUUGCACCAUGGCUCAGACAGCUGUGUUCAUGGUCGUACCU